CAAGUAAUGUUGCAUUAUCUCCGGUCUCGGGUGAUUCGAUUCGGGAAGGAGGGGGAGGGGGAGAGCGUUAGCAGAAGCUAAAGAAUGGCCGCCGCUACUGCCGCUUCCGUAUCCUGCCACAAUUUCUACAGCAGCUACGCUCAUGCUUCUUCCGGUCCUCUCCCCGUGCCUCGCCGCACCCCGUCCGCGGCCCUAACUCGCUGCGGGAGACUCUUUGCGCGCGCCAAGUUUGAGAAUUUCGACGCCCCCUCCGACGUCCCCCCGCUGUCUUCAGAUGGCCCCAAUUCAGGGACGGCUGCGGUGCCGGAACAGCAAGAAUUAGACCAAGACAGUGACUUGCCAUCGGAUUUGGAGGGUGCGAUCCGGCAGUCAAGUCAAGCAAGUGCUUCGUUCAUAUCUUCCGGAGGAAUGAGAGCUAUUGUAGAACUUCUAAUUCCUCAAAUACAAUUUCUUGAUGCUGAAGGUGCUCAAGCUGAGUUAUGGGAACUAUCAAGAAUCUUUUUGGAGUCACUUAUAGAGGAAUCAGGGGGUCAGAGAGUAAAAGCCAUUUUUCCUGAUGCUGGAGCAGCUGCUCUUCUGAAGUAUCAGUGGACGGAUGCAAACUUUGGGUUUUCCAGCUUAAGCGACCGGAAACCUGUAGACAACGAAGAUGAAGUUGUAGUUAUGGUUGUUCCUGAUUAUCAGAUGUUGGAGUAUGUGGAACGAGUUGCUACCCUUCUUUCUGAGGAUCCACCAAGGCCUCUUAUCAUGUGGAACCCACGGCUUGUUAGCGAAGAUGUCGGAGUUGGAAUCAAUGUUCGCAAUCUCCGGAGAUAUUUCUUAAGGCGAGUAUUCAUCAAGCUCUCAUUAAUUGCUGAGUUGCAAAUGUCUUUCUAUUGCUUUCAACAAAUAUAUUUAAACAAGAUAUUAUGUUUCUAACAUUAGGUAUUUCUUUCUUGGUCCUAUCAAACUGUGAUACAUGCAGCACUUUCACUGUUGUUUACUCGAUGAGACCUUUGCCAACUGGAGCAAUCUUUAGAUGUUAUCCUAGGAUGUGGAAAGUGUUCUACGAUGAUGUAAAUAGGCCGGGUAGAUACUUGCUGGCCAAAGAACAACCCGGACGUCCUGAUGCAACAGAUAUUGAGCUGAUAUUUGGAAAUGUGGACGAGAAAUCAGAGAAGGCACCGUCGUUCUUAGAUAAGGCCGUGAGCAUGUUUACCUCCAUAAACAGGUUUAUGAAGGCCAUUUCCAGGUGAAAUGCCUUUUUUCUUGGGUUCCAAAACCUUUCUGCUCUUGUUUCAGCUCUUUCACUCUUCAGAGUAUACAAUUUUCAGAGCCAUAAGCAUUAUUAUGAAAAGUUGCUUGUUUGAUUA